rnacentral:snoRNA from 1 species
UGAUUUGGAUGAUGAUAACACAAGUAAAAUACAGUUAUCCCUGUCUGACUCCUUCCUAAGGGUGCUGAUAAUACUUUAAUCUGACACAUGC